ensembl:snoRNA
CCCCUCCAGUUUCCUUCCCUGUCUGAUCUAAACACUGGUCUGAGUGGUUACAAAAGGAGGAAAAGUAAUACUGAAACUGAUUUCAACGCUUUUGUAGUACAUAAGCUAGUUUCAAACAAAC